rnacentral:rRNA from 1 species
AUGGUUAUGGAUGGUGGCGGCGAUACGGAUGGGGACGGCGCUGCGGAGGAUGGCCAGGGCGCGGCCGCGGAGGGGUCAAACCUAGGUGCUGAUGUGGAUCCGACAUUGGUGGAGAAUGGCGACGGCAGGGCUGCGGCUAGGUGCGGCCAGGGCGAGGCUCCAGAAGCAAAGGGGUCGGGCCAGCGCACGGCUACAGAUGGAGACAACACGGCUUUGGCAGGUGACCAGGGCACGGCUACAACGGGCUCGGGCCAGGGUGUUGCAUUGGCCAGGGGCUCAACCGCCGGCGUGGGUGGAGAAUCAGGCGAGGCAUGGCUGGGUCGACCCCGGAAGGAGCUGCUGGGUCAGGCAAGGGAAAGGCUAGGUCGUCCACGGAAGGAGCUACAUGGGCAUGUCCAGUCCGGUGAAGAAAAACCCAUGUGGUCAUGA